rnacentral:lncRNA from 15 species
AUGUGCUACCUGUCAUUCAGUGCUGUUGGGUAUUUAGCGCCACAGGUGGCCGUUAUGAGGUGGGCCAGUAUAAAAGCCACCACCCUUCCUGGCUAUUCCUUUUGCGCCUCUGUCGUCACCGGUGUGUCACUUCCGGGUCAUAGGUCGUUGACCCGACAGGUAUGGCUGCCCGCUGUUUCACCACACUGGUCGCUCGGUCCUUUCUGCGUGCUCACGGCAUUUGUGUUUGUUUGUAGGGCAGCUGCUCCGUGUUUCCCAUAUGUGUGGCGUAGUUUGUGCGUGGUAAAUGCCAGCAGUGGCCGGUCUUCUCUCUCCCUCCCUCCUCUGGUGCGAAUGGAUGUGUCCCCAUACAGGUAUGUGUGUCAGUAUAGUAAUCAUCAACCGCAGUAUUUACGGUUAAACGUAGUGACGCUAAUGGUAUGUAUUCUAUCAUUAGGUGUAACGUGCGAUCAGCUGAUUGGGGUCGCUGCUGCUUUGUCCUAUUUCAAACGCUGCUGCUUUGCUUUGCCUAGUCUCCACGCUGCUGGUCUGAGACGGUCUCCAUGUCGCUUGGCUGCGAGGCUGCUCUUGCUCCUCUCUGUUUGGCUUCAUCUGGCGUUUGCCGCGGCCUGGCAUCUGUGGCCCACACCGUGCCCCAGAGCAGCUCUGUCAGACUCACGCGUGUUUUAACUGGGCCUGGCCUCCAUGUCUGUUUGCUGGAGACUGGCGGUGGCGGCGCUGGUGCCCGGAUGGUGGUAUCCCCUUCUGUCUGCUGUGUCCGGUCAAGCGGGUUUCACUUCACUGAGUGUGUCACAUAUGUCGGGUGUUUGAGUUGAUUUCUUAUUUUGGGUGAAUCCCCCCUCGCACUAAGCCCCUGUCCAUACACUCGGCUCCAGCCCCCUCCUUUUUGUUUGAUUUCCCUAUUUAGAUUUGCUUUUGUAUGAAUCAAACUGAAAUAUUAACUAUUUAACAAUAAAAUUGUAUAUUUCUCUAUAAAUACCUGAACCAUGCCUCAUGCCUUACUGAGUAAACUUACCUGUGUGCUUUCCAAAUUAAUUCUCUGGGUGAAAUUCCUAGGGUGGCAUUUUUGGUUCCUUUCCCUAAUUUGGUUGUUGGUCAAAUUAUUAGGUUUAUUUUCACUUUAUCCUCACCACAACAUAAGCACAUGACCUCAUGGAAAGAACUUGAGAUUCAUCUUGACAAGGGCCAAACAAUAGAGCUAAAAUGGCACUAAUAGAGGCUAAAAGGAGGAGGUGGUGUGAUGUCCUGACCAGGUUGGUGGCCAUCAUACAGUCAUUGGCAGAGUGAAAUAUUGCUCUCAGGGGAACCACAGACACACUUCAUGAACCAAAUAAUGGCAACUUCCUAAAAGAAGUAGAGCUCAUGGCCAAAUUUGAUCCUGUAUUGAAGCAGCAUAUUGCUGACGUGGAAACAUGAGUACAUGAUACAUCCUACUUGGGAAAAAAUAUUUAAAAUUAACUUAUUGAUUUCAUUGGUGGAAAGCUCCUGGAAGCUAUAGUCAAAGAAAUUCAACAAAACAAAUACUUCUCAAUCAUUUUGGAUUGCACCCCUGAUUUGAGCCAUAGAGAGCAACUGUCGGUCAUCAUUCGACUGCAGUUGAGGACACUCCACAAAUAAAAACAUUUUGUGGGGUUCCUUGAGGCAGAAGAGUCCACUGGAGAAAACCUUUCAACCCUCAUCCUAAGGAGACCUGAAGAGCUCAGCAUCCCAUUUGAAGACUGCAGAGGGCAGUCUUAUGACAAUGGUGCCAAUAUCAUAGGGAAGAGGAAAGGUGUCCAAGCCAGACUUCUUGAAAAAAAUCCCAGAGCUUUAUUUGUGCCAUGCAAAGCACACACAGUGAAUCUGGUGGUAGCUGAUGCAGCAAAAAGCUCUGCAGAUGCCACCAGCUACUUUGGCUACCUGCAGAAGCUUUUCACACUAUUUUCUGCCUCCACACAGAUGGUCCAUCUUAAAAAAACAUGUGACCACAACGCUGAAAUCCUGGUCAAAUACUAGAUGGGAGAGUCUUAUCAACAGUGUAGAGGCUGUGAGAUACCAGGCUGCAGAAGUCAGGGAUGCACUUAUGGAGGUGAGGGACAACGCCACAGAUCCAGCCAUAAAAAUCAAGGCACAAUCUUUGGCUGAAGAGGUUGGAUCUUACCGCUUCUCAAUCUCUACUGUGGUAUGGCAUGACAUCCUGACCAAAAUUCAGCAUGUCAGCAAAUUAUUACAAUCAGAGACAAUGCAGAUGGAUGUUGCAGUCAACCUUCUGAGGAAAACUGAAGCCUCUCUUAUCACACUCCAAAAACAGAUGUGUCAAAAAAUAACACACAUGGCUGUGUGAUUAUCAUUUUGAUUCAUGUUGUGUAGCUUUUAGCACACAAUGUGUAAUUUUUUCUUUGUGCCCCUGGAAAGAUUGACACAGUAAAUGUGUACCGUAAUUUUCGGACUAUAAGCCGCGCCUGAAUAUAAGCCGCAGCAGCUAAAUUGAAUGAUGUGUACAUAUAUAAGCCGCACUGGACUAUAAGCCGCAGGUGUUUUAAUGUUUAGCUCUAUUUCCUUCUUUUACAGCCAGAUUGACUGCCUUUAACUUAAAAGCUGCAUCAUAUGCAUUUCUCCGUUUGUUUUCCAUAAUGAGGGUUUGUGCAUGAAAACUUCCUUUGCACAAACUGUCUCGCUCUCGUAAUGUCUGUCUGUCUUGCUCUCGUUCUGUCUCUCGUACCACUCUCGGUUCCACUUUUACUUUUGCGUGCUACCUGUCUCACUCUUUUCCGGCCUCCAGCUUUUCCUGCUGGAGCCCGCCGCUUGAAGGUGCUGGGCGCGGACCGGUCAUAGAGCCCAUAGAGUUAAAGUUGGUGGACUGUAACCUGUAAAAUCCAUAGAUUUAGGAGGUCCCCUAGUGGCCGUUAGCUGUAAAAAUCCAUAGAUUAGCUGCACCGUUAUAUAAACCGCAGGGUCGAAAAAUGGGAAAAAAGGUCCGAAAAUUACGGUACAUACUCUGGGGGGAAGGCAGUUUGUGUUUCUGUUAUAAAAAUAACACAAAUAUUUUUGGUAGCAUAUAAGAAGCUCUAAAAUGAAUCAACACCAUGAAAAAAUUAUUAAAAACAAGUAUCUUAACCUUAUCAAAUUUCAAAAAUAACGGCAGUUUUUUUGUUGUCCAAUCACGGUGGUGCUACUGUCUUUUUGAACUGCGACCUCUGCUCCGCCCGCUCUUUUCACUGUUGCCUGUCUCAAGAGGAUCAGGAUGCUGUCGGACUCCUCAGAGCCACCUGUAAGUUACAUUAUUUAUUUGGUGACAUUCACAUUUAUUAACUCUCUAAUCUGGAAAAAACAACAUUCACAAUGUGGUAAGUAACUCAGAUAAGUUUCUCAUUAUUUUAACCUGCUCUUGGUUAUAGUUAGAACAAAAGCUAACUAAGUUAGCUUUGCUAACAUUGGAUGGUUGCCAUAAUCUCAGUCAGUCUAUGUUAGCUGCCCGGUUAACGCUAGCUAACUCAUGAACAUUAAUACUAUCUUAUAUGAUGGAGGAUGAUGCUAGACAAAAUAAAACCACGCCAUUAAGUAAACCUUUAAUUUAUUGGCCAGUGUAAGGCAAGUCACUUGAUAUUACUGCUUGUGUGUGUGUAUAUAAUAACGAGUAACGUAUUCACAAAUUAUGCAUUACUUCAUAACCGCGUAGAGGCAGCCAUCUUGGUAACGCCUCCGGAUAAACAAGAGCAGGCUAGCUAAAUGAAUGGGGAGUGAGCCAUAACUGCACUUUCGCUGGUCACGGGAACAUAAAAAUUGCAGGGAUAGAAUCACCAGUAAAGUCUGAUGUAAAGUUUGAUGACUUUGCCCCAAAAUAAUGUUUAAAAGUCGCUUUUUUGUGGCGUUCUUAAAACGCCUCUGGGCAGACUGGAAGUGGAAGCAUUGGUGCUUUUAUUCUGAAGCAGGCUCGCCUCGGAGUGGAAGUGUUAAUGCAGUUAGCUUCUGUAAAGUCAACAGAAAGUCAGACAACAACAGCGGUAAAUUAAACGUGUGCUGAUAAUUUCAGUAGGAGACGUUUACAUUUGAAAUGAAAUGGAUUGGAUAACAGCCGUCAAACGCCGUUAAUGUUACGUGUUUUGUCUGCGGUGAAUAACUUGGCACUGCUUGCUUAUAACCUUUAAAUGCCUCGGCAACGUUAUGGUCUUCCUUUGAUUUUUGCUCUGCCUGUUCAGUUUGUACCUGCUAACGUUAGUUUAAUGUGACAACAAAAUGUCGUGGGAUGUUGGGCCGUUUUUAAAAAAGGAAAAACAACUAACGUUAGAGAGAAGUAAAGAGGAUUGUGUGUUAAGUGCUGUUAACGUUACACAGUGUAUUAGUUACUUUAAACUCUUGUUCAUAAGUAUCAUAUUCUGUCAUGUUGGCCGUUGAUUCUUUCUGCGUGUGAUUGUUUGCUUUACAUUCAGUUUAAUAAAAAGGGGCUCAAAAUAAAAACAGCUUGUAUCAGUAGGAAUGCAUUAACUAUUAUAUAUAUAACUACUCCAUAUUGUCAGCAUCAGCAAAACCUGGGUUUUCGCCCAGCACUGAGCUCUACACCUUAUCAUGUCUCCCUAAACCCCAACCAAUAUAGGAUGUUCCAGUGCCAAAUGAACAAGGAAGCCUGCUGUCUCUACUUCAGAGCAAAGCACCAGUGAUACUUGACGAACACAAGGAAAAAGGAACGCUUAAAAUAGAGACAAGGAGGCUCCUUGUCAAAGUAUGCAUCAGUCACUUGGUGGAGAAGCAUGGAUUGUAAGUAUAAAUUCAAAGAAGAUUGCAGUUUUGAAACUGAAGCUAAAAUGUCAGGCCUGAUUGCAGUUCAAUGUCUGUGGAUUUUGCUCUUCUUCGGCCCCUCCAGUUACCCACCAAUUGCUGAAAAGCUCCUUUUAGCAAAGAAUAUCGUCAACACUUUCCCAUCCUUGAGGGUUCAAAUUUAAGGAAAAGGAGAUGGAUUUGUAAGUAGCAUCUUAUUGUUUCUCGAAAUUAGGGUUGUCCUGAUCAAGUUUUCCCCCUCAAAUUUUUAUAAAUUGCUGUUAUUGCCUUUUGCUUGCAAGUCUUUUGUAGUGGUGUGGUGAGUGUGUAGGCUCUCCUAGGAACAGGGAUUUGUUGUUUGUGUAGAUUAUAGAAUUUUAAGCAGCAAAAGUAUAACUUUUAUCUCAGGGUGACUUAUUGUCUACUAUGUUGUUUUUAUAACCUCAGGAGCAUUUUUUUUGAUCCAAUAUCACAUUCUGGAUUCUUGGAAAUGAGACUGCGUAACAUCCGCCGAAAGUUAGAAGCAGGUCAGCGUCGAUACACAAAGCGCAAGAUAAGCUGCAACACUGGGCCAGGCUUACAACAGGACCAGGGGGACAGCAGUGUGACCAAUGAGAUGAUCACCCUCAUGAAACGCCUACGGCCGUCUUCAGAGGCCCUUCCUUCAAUCAAAUCGGCAAUGGAGAAGACAUACACCCAGUGCAGAUCAUGGAUUUCGAAGGACACUCCCACUAUGGCUGAAAUCUUCAAUGAAUACCCACCCUUUUUGGAUGUGCCAAGUCUA